ACCCGCUGAACUUAAGCAUAUCAAUAAGCGGAGGAAAAGAAACCAACAGGGAUUGCCCUAGUAACGGCGAGUGAAGCGGCAACAGCUCAAAUUUGAAAUCUGGCUUUCGGGCCCGAGUUGUAAUUUGUAGAGGAUACUUUUGAUGCGGUGCCUUCCGAGUUCCCUGGAACGGGACGCCAUAGAGGGUGAGAGCCCCGUCUGGUUGGAUGCCAAAUCUCUGUAAAGUUCCUUCGACGAGUCGAGUAGUUUGGGAAUGCUGCUCUAAAUGGGAGGUAUAUGUCUUCUAAAGCUAAAUAUUGGCCAGAGACCGAUAGCGCACAAGUAGAGUGAUCGAAAGAUGAAAAGCACUUUGAAAAGAGAGUUAAAAAGUACGUGAAAUUGUUGAAAGGGAAGCGUUUAUGACCAGACUUGGACUUGGUUAAUCAUCUGGGGUUCUCCCCAGUGCACUUUUCCAGUUCAGGCCAGCAUCAGUUUUCGCCGGGGGAUAAAGGCUUCGGGAAUGUAGCUCUCUUCGGGGAGUGUUAUAGCCCGUUGUGUAAUACCCUGGCGGAGACUGAGGUUCGCGCUUCUGCAAGGAUGCUGGCGUAAUGGUCAU
rnacentral:rRNA from 1 species